AUCAGCUCACCUCUGUGCAACUGAUUCCUUUACAGCUGACGAAAUCCCUCACUUCUGGGAAAAGGAGUAUAACCUGGAACAUUAAGGGAGACAUGGAGCAAACAUGAGGAGACAGGCUGAGGAGACAAGGAUGAAACACAAGGAGAGGAACAAAGGAACAGGAACCAGAACCGAUGGACUGGACUGCUUACGGUGAACAACCAGUUCCUGGCCGGUGCCGCUGGACCAUUUGUCUCCUCCAUGGAUGACGACGUCACCCCAAUGGAGAUAGACUAAAAGGUUCAGCAUACCAAAAGAUUUUUAUGCUGGAUAGCCUUCCUGAUGCAACCCCAAAGGAAUUUCUGUCACGGGUUGCCGGGGCAAGCCGUGUGAAUUUAUCAAAGGACCCAAGAUACGGAUAUGCAGUGAAAUGAGAGGGCUUUAUUGACACAAAACUCGAGUGAUAACAAACAAAAGGAGAGUGUGGCGAGAAACCGAACUUAGACAAACUACACUGAGAAAACUAAAACCUAAACACCAAACCUGAACACGAGAGAAAGCAACUUGCAGGGAGAAUUCACAGAAUGACGGCAGGAGAUUCACAGACACGAAAACACCAAAU